rnacentral:rRNA from 1 species
GCGUGCCUAAUACAUGCAAGUCGAACGAACUCUGGUAUUGAUUGGUGCUUGCAUCAUGAUUUACAUUUGAGUGAGUGGCGAACUGGUGAGUAACACGUGGGAAACCUGCCCAGAAGCGGGGGAUAACACCUGGAAACAGAUGCUAAUACCGCAUAACAACUUGGACCGCAUGGUCCGAGCUUGAAAGAUGGCUUCGGCUAUCACUUUUGGAUGGUCCCGCGGCGUAUUAGCUAGAUGGUGGGGUAACGGCUCACCAUGGCAAUGAUACGUAGCCGACCUGAGAGGGUAAUCGGCCACAUUGGGACUGAGACACGGCCCAAACUCCUACGGGAGGCAGCAGUAGGGAAUCUUCCACAAUGGACGAAAGUCUGAUGGAGCAACGCCGCGUGAGUGAAGAAGGGUUUCGGCUCGUAAAACUCUGUUGUUAAAGAAGAACAUAUCUGAGAGUAACUGUUCAGGUAUUGACGGUAUUUAACCAGAAAGCCACGGCUAACUACGUGCCAGCAGCCGCGGUAAUACGUAGGUGGCAAGCGUUGUCCGGAUUUAUUGGGCGUAAAGCGAGCGCAGGCGGUUUUUUAAGUCUGAUGUGAAAGCCUUCGGCUCAACCGAAGAAGUGCAUCGGAAACUGGGAAACUUGAGUGCAGAAGAGGACAGUGGAACUCCAUGUGUAGCGGUGAA